rnacentral:rRNA from 1 species
GAUGCACGCUGGCGGCGUGCUUAACACAUGCAAGUCGAGCGGAGUUAUUUCAAGGAAGUUUUCGGAUGGAAUUGAAAUGACUUAGCGGCGGACGGGUGAGUAACGCGUGGGUAACCUGCCUCAUACAGGGGGAUAACAGUUGGAAACGACUGCUAAUACCGCAUAAGCACACAGUGCUGCAUAGCACAGUGUGAAAAACUCCGGUGGUAUGAGAUGGACCCGCGUCUGAUUAGGUAGUUGGUGGGGUAACGGCACACCAAGCCGACGAUCAGUAGCCGACCUGGGAGGGUGACCGGCCACAUUGGGACUGAGACACGGCCCAAGCUCCUACGGGAGGCAGCAGUGGGGAAUAUUGGACAAUGGGGUAAACCUUGAUCCAGCGACGCCGCGUGAGUUAAGAAGUAUUUCGGUAUGUAAAGCUCUAUCAGCAGGGAAGAAAAUGACGGUACCUGACUAAGAAGCCCCGGCUAACUACGUGCCAGCCGCCGCCGUAA